GAUGAACGCUAGCGGCAGGCUUAACACAUGCAAGUCGAGGGGCAGCACGGGUAGCAAUACUUGGUGGCGACCGGCGCAAGGGUGCGUAACGCGUGAGCAACAUGCCCGUAUCAGGGGGAUAAUCCAUGGAAACGUGGUCUAAUACCCCAUAGUAAGUUUUUGGGGCAUCUCAAAGAUUUUAAAGCUUUGGUGGAUACGGAUUGGCUCGCGUGACAUUAGCUAGAUGGUAAGGUAACGGCUUACCAUGGCUACGAUGUCUAGGGGUUCUGAGAGGAAGGUCCCCCACACUGGAACUGAGACACGGUCCAGACUCCUACGGGAGGCAGCAGUGAGGAAUAUUGGACAAUGGAUGGAAAUCUGAUCCAGCCAUGCCGCGUGCAGGAAGACGGCCCUAUGGGUUGUAAACUGCUUUUGUAUGGGAGCAAUAAGAUCUACGUGUAGAUUGAUGAGAGUACCAUACGAAUAAGCACCGGCUAACUCCGUGCC
rnacentral:rRNA from 1 species